rnacentral:sRNA from 1 species
GUUGAUAAAUGGUCAAAGAAACAUGGAUAAUGUACUUUGGAUUGAUGUUUAUUGUUCAUGUAUAAACUUAUGUAUUAGUAUGAAACUACCAUAUGACUUAUUAGAUGACCAUAUGUACUGGACUGUUUGGACAAUCAUUAAUGGACAAGUCUGUCUUUGAUUUGUUGUGAAUGUGUUUAUAACUCGAUAAAAUUGUCUCAACAUGUCUAUACACAUGUGGAUAAAUGGUCAAAUAGACAUGGAUAAUGUACUUUGGAUUGGCGUUUAUUGUUUAUGUAUAAACUUAUGUAUUAGUAUGAAACUACCAUGUGAGUCAUUUGAUGACCAUAUAGACUGGACUGCUUGGACAAUCAUUAAUGGACAAGUAUGUCUUUGAUUUCCUGCGAAUGUGUUUAUAGAUCGAUAAAAUUAGCACUUUUUUGUUUGCUCAUCUAACAUUAUCAUUGGAGCCCAACUUGAUACAACCUCUCUAGCUUCUCUUCUUCCUCUCUUACAAUAAACAGAAUAAUCAUCACCUUCUCUUUCAACCUCUCUACAUUCCUCCCUCGACGUCACAGUUACAUCGGCCGAUGAAGAAAUCGGAGCUACAAAUCCAUCAACACCAAUCGGUAUAUCAAGCCUUGUAGGUCGUUUCCUUUUUAAAACUUCUUCCGGAGGAGACGAUGCAGAAACAGAGUCGGAUCCAAACGAUAACCCGAAUCAGGGGGAGAUUCCUAAUCGACUUCUACGUCAUCUCUCCAAUCACAGUGGCGGUUAAUUCGCUGCAAAAAACAUCGUCACAAUGUCUUGGUUAAGGCGGAGGCAACUCAAUUUAAAUUGUUCCAGAGGUUUUGUUUGAAGGGAGAGAGAUCGUUGCACAGUAAUAUUAACCAAUUCAAGAAACAGUGACCCGGAGAUUCCGAGACUUUCCAUAGUAAUUGCUUGGUCGGAAGAAUUAACAACCAUCGACAUUGAUAUUGUGAGAUAAUUUCAGUCGGCGAAGGCAACUUCCUUUUCUCAUCUGUAAAUAUCAACUGUCGAUUUAUUAGAAGGGAACCAAAUCAAAACAAAAUCUUUCUAACCGGUUAAGUAAAUUUUUGGUUUAGAUGGGUGGGGAUAUAAUUGUCCAUUUAUUUUUCAAAAACAAGGAAAAAUGCCUUGUACGUGAGAAGUGCCUCAAAAGGAAUAAAAGUUUGUAGAAGUGCCUAAACAUGUCCAAUUCCCAAAUAAAUAUCUUGA